AUGCUACACAAUCUGUUACCGCAGCCUGAAAACUCUCCUAAUACCGCAACCUGUUACGCAAUCCCCUCCCGACAAAAAACAGCGCUUACCCCAGUUUUCGCCCUGAUAGCGCCUCGGUACCAGUUCACGGGUUCCAGCAAGAACGGGCCGGCGGUGUCGCGCGACCCGGAGGCGCUGAGGGUCAAGUACUCGGACCCGCUGGUUUUCACGGGGUCCAUCCGGGUGCGCACCGGCUACGAGAUCCUCCGGCUCACGGCCUACCUGCAGCAGCACCUGCGCAGGGUCACGGUGCCGCUGCUGGUGCUGCACGGCGCCGACGACAUGGUGACCGACCCGGAGGGCUCGCGCCGGCUGCACCGGGAGGCCUCCACCCCGGACAAGGCCAUCCGGCUCUACGACGGCCUGCUGCACGACCUCCUCAUCGAGCCCGAGAAGGAGGUGGUGCUGGGCGACAUCGUCGACUGGCUCAGCCCCAGGAUCUGA
rnacentral:rRNA from 1 species